rnacentral:rRNA from 1 species
AGAGUUUGAUCCUGGCUCAGGACGAACGCUGGCGGCGUGCUUAACACAUGCAAGUCGAGCGGGGAUGUUCGGAGUGCUUGCACACUGAACAUUCCAGCGGCGGACGGGUGAGUAACGCGUGAACAAUCUGUCCCAUACAGGGGGAUAACAGAUGGAAACAUCUGCUAAUACCGCAUAAGACCACGAUGCCACAUGGCGAUGGGGUAAAAGGAGGAAUCCGGUAUGGGGUGAGUUCGCGUCCGAUUAGCUAGUUGGCGAGGUAACGGCCCACCAAGGCGACGAUCGGUAGCCGACCUGAGAGGGUGAUCGGCCACACUGGAACUGAGAGACGGUCCAGACUCCUACGGGAGGCAGCAGUGGGGAAUAUUGGGCAAUGGGCGAAAGCCUGACCCAGCAACGCCGCGUGAGGGAAGAAGGUUUUCGGAUUGUAAACCUCUGUCCUCAGGGACGAAGGACGUGACGGUACCUGAGGAGGAAGCCCCGGCUAACUACGUGCCAGCAGCCGCGGUAAUACGUAGGGGGCGAGCGUUGUCCGGAAUGACUGGGCGUAAAGGGCGUGUAGGCGGCUUUUUAAGUCUGGAGUGAAAGCCCCUUUUUCAAGGAGGGGAGUGCUUUGGAGACUGGAGAGCUUGAGUGCGGAAGAGGUAAGUGGAAUUCCCAGUGUAGCGGUGAAAUGCGUAGAGAUUGGGAGGAACACCAGUGGCGAAGGCGACUUACUGGGCCGUAACUGACGCUGAGGCGCGAAAGCGUGGGGAGCGAACAGGAUUAGAUACCCUGGUAGUCCACGCUGUAAACGAUGAAUGCUAGGUGUAGCGGGUAUCGACCCCUGCUGUGCCGGAGUAAACACAAUAAGCAUUCCGCCUGGGGAGUACGGCCGCAAGGUUGAAACUCAAAGGAAUUGACGGGGGCCCGCAC